rnacentral:rRNA from 1 species
UCCAGACUCCUACGGGAGGCAGCAGUGAGGAAUAUUGGUCAAUGGUCGGGAGACUGAACCAGCCAAGCCGCGUGAGGGAUGAAGGUACAGAGUAUCGUAAACCUCUUUUGUCGGGGAGCAAAGCGAGUCACGUGUGACUCAUUGAGAGUACCCGAAGAAAAAGCAUCGGCUAACUCCGUGCCAGCAGCCGCGGUAAUACGGAGGAUGCGAGCGUUAUCCGGAUUUAUUGGGUUUAAAGGGUGCGCAGGCGGAGGUGCAAGUCAGCGGUCAAAUUGCGGGGCUCAACCCCGUACUGCCGUUGAAACUGCAUCCCUUGAGUGCGCGAGAAGUAUGCGGAAUGCGUGGUGUAGCGGUGAAAUGCAUAGAUAUCACGCAGAACUCCGAUUGCGAAGGCAGCAUACCGGCGCCCAACUGACGCUGAAGCACGAAAGCGUGGGUAUCGAACAGGAUUAGAUACCCCGGUAGG